UCCCUCUCAAAGUCGCACCUGGAGAGUUUCGAGUACUCUGCCAGUCUUGGCUAUGGGAGAGAGAGUCGAGCAGAGGCCUACCUGUUCCAUUCCUAGCUUGGCCAGUGGCUAGCGAAUGAAAGGCAAUCUGCUACAAGU